rnacentral:rRNA from 1 species
GACGAACGCUGGCGGCGUGCUUAACACAUGCCAGUCGAACGGAAAGGCCCUGCUUUUGUUGGGUGCUCGAGUGGCGAACGGGUGAGUAACACGUGAGUAACCUGCCCUUGACUUUGGGAUAACUUCAGGAAACUGGGGCUAAUACCGGAUAGGAGCUCCUGCUGCAUGGUGGGGGUUGGAAAGUUUCGGCGGUUGGGGAUGGACUCGCGGCUUAUCAGCUUGUUGGUGGGGUAGUGGCUUACCAAGGCUUUGACGGGUAGCCGGCCUGAGAGGGUGACCGGCCACAUUGGGACUGAGAUACGGCCCAGACUCCUACGGGAGGCAGCAGUGGGGAAUAUUGCAAACUGGGCGGAAGCCUGAUGCAGCAACGCCGCGUGCGGGAUGACGGCCUUCGGGUUGUAAACCGCUUUCGCCUGUGACGAAGCGUGAGUGACGGUAAUGGGUAAAGAAGCACCGGCUAACUACGUG